rnacentral:rRNA from 1 species
GAUGAACGCUGGCGGCGUGCCUAAUACAUGCAAGUCGAGCGAACGGACGAGAAGCUUGCUUUUCUGAUGUUAGCGGCGGACGGGUGAGUAACACGUGGAUAACCUACCUAUAAGACUGGGAUAACUUCGGGAAACCGGAGCUAAUACCGGAUAAUAUUUUGAACCGCAUGGUUCAAAAGUGAAAGACGGUCUUGCUGUUACUUAUAGAUGGAUCCGCGCUGCAUUAGCUAGUUGGUAAGGUAACGGCUUACCAAGGCAACGAUGCAUAGCCGACCUGAGAGGGUGAUCGGCCACACUGGAACUGAGACACGGUCCAGACUCCUACGGGGGGCAGCAGUAGGGAAUCUUCCGCAAUGGGCGAAAGCCUGACGGAGCAACGCCGCGUGAGUGAUGAAGGUCUUCGGAUCGUAAAACUCUGUUAUUAGGGAAGAACAUAUGUGUAAGUAACUGUGCACAUCUUGACGGUACCUAAUCAGAAAGCCACGGCUAACUACGUG